AUAGUAAUGUUGCUUCCAUAAAGCACAGGUUAGCAUUAAUUAUUGAAAAGAAAAAUAAACAUUUUCAUUAGACAAAUGAACAAUAUCUAAGUCUCAAGAUGUUCUUUGAAAACAAAUAUUAUAUACUCUGAACACUAAUGAACACUAAUUUUAUCUUAUUUUUAAGUAAUGUUACUAAUAUUUACAUUUAAACACAUAAAAUAAUCGUGAAUUUAGCAAUAACAGUGUUUUAUUAGCGACCGGCUAUCCACUAUCUAGCUUGGCCAAUGGCUGAGUUGGCGAUGGUCAAAGUAAAUAAUAGUUGUUCAUGGAACACGAUGUUUAAAUGGCUGGAUGGUUCAAGCAACGCCAAUAACGCAAUUAAUGGCACUUUGGCUGAUGUUUUGGUAAUGUGUCUAUUA